AAUUGAAGGGUUUGAUCCUGGCUCAGAAUGAACGUUGGCGGCGUGGAUUAGGCAUGCAAGUCGAGCGAGAAAUUCUUUUUUGAUUUCUACGGAAUGAUUAGUUGAAUGGACAGCGGCGCAAGGGAGAGUAACGCGUGGAAGUUUACCUUGAGGAUCGGGAUAGCAGCGGGAAACUGCUGGUAAUACCGAAUAAUGUCUCCGGACCAAACUUUUUGGCCUCAAGAGAACUCCGCGUCCUACUAGCUUGUUGGUGGUGUAACGGACUACCAAGGCUAUGAUGGGUAGCGGGUGUGAGAGCAUGACCCGUCUCACUGGGACUGAGACACUGCCCAGACACCUACGGGUGGCUGCAGUCGAGAAUCUUCGGCAAUGGACGAAAGUCUGACCGAGCGA
rnacentral:rRNA from 1 species